UGCGCAGGCGGGGCAAUUAGUCAGUGGUGAAAUCCUGCGGCUUAACCGUGGAAUUGCCAUUGAUACUGUUGUCCUUGAGUAUAGUUGAAGUGGGCGGAAUAUGUAAUGUAGCGGUGAAAUGCAUAGAUAUUACAUAGAACACCAAUUGCGAAGGCAGCUCACUAAGCUAUCACUGACGCUGAGGCACGAAAGCGUGGGGAGCGAACAGGAUUAGAUACCCUGGUAGUCC
rnacentral:rRNA from 1 species